GACGAACGCUGGCGGCGCGCUUAACACAUGCAAGUCGAACGGAAAGGCCUGCUUUCCCUUGUGGAUUGCGGGUACUCGAGUGGCGAACGGGUGAGUAACACGUGAGUUAUCUGCCCCCAACUUGGGUAUAAGCCUGGGAAACUGGGUCUAAUUCCCGAUAGGACUGCAGGGUGGUGCCCGUGGUGGAAAACGAUUUUCUAGUGGUUGGGGAUGAGCUCGCGGCCUAUCAGCUUGUUGGUGGGGUAAUGGCCUACCAAGGCGGCGACGGGUAGCCGGCCUGAGAGAGUGGACGGCCACAGUGGGACUGAGAUACGGCCCAGACUCCUACGGGAGGCAGCAGUGGGGAAUAUUGCACAAUGGGCGGAAGCCUGAUGCAGCGACGCCGCGUGGGGGAUGACGGCCUUCGGGUUGUAAACUCCUUUCGACCGCGAGGAAGCCACCUGGUUGGAAGGGUGGUGACGGUAGUGGUAGAAGAAGCACCGGCUAACUACGUG
rnacentral:rRNA from 1 species